UCAAAACAGCGGCCUUCGGGCCUCGCUGCACCCUUGUCUUUUGCGCACCGUAUUGUUUCCUCGGCGGGCUUGCCUGCCGGUUGGACAUCAUAAAACCUUUUUAUAGUUGCAAUCAGCGUCAGAAAAACAAUAAUUAUUA
rnacentral:misc_RNA from 1 species